rnacentral:lncRNA from 1 species
GCUUCUCGCUGAAGCCACACAGAGAGGAGUUUACGCCAAAGUCAUGCUCGGCAUCAGUGGACAGGUGAGAUCCAGCUUUAUCAGCAGCACUCCACGAAUGGCAAGGAAACGUUUAGCGAUGAGCCACUCCUCCAACCCAUCACUCAGCAGCGGAGAGAGUCAUGAUAUCACCCAGAGAUCACCUCCCGAGGGAAGUGUCAGCUGUGCGGAGCUGGGCAAAAGCAAAAUAUUGACGCAGGAAAACACUCUGCUUCAGGGUGUGUGGCCGAUAGUAAGGAGUCAUCCACAAACUAGUUCUUCAGCAGGUAGAUUGAUCUCCAGGCAUUGAGAGCAUUUCAAAUUUUAAAACGUACCAUUUCUGUUGUGUGGUUUUUGAAGGACAAAACAUCAAGACGCUCCAUUAUAGGAAUAAAAGGAUAUGUUUGGAGUUCUGAAGAAAUGGAAGGCCCUCAGGAUCCAAACCGAGUUUCAAGCCCAAAGAAGCGCAAACUGCAUAAAAUGUGUGCGGUAGAUUUAGAGGACGAGAUGGUCAUCAAACGU